CCUACGGGUGGCAGCAGUCGAGAAUCUUUCACAAUGGGGGAAACCCUGAUGCUGCGACGCCGCGUGGGGGAAUGAAGGUUUCCGGAUUGUAAACUCUUGUCAUGUGGGAGCAAAUUAAAAAGAUUGUAUAACAAGAGGAAGCGACGGCCAACUCUGUGCCAGCAGCCGUGGUAAUACUGAGGUCUCAAGCGUUGUUCGGAAUCACUGGGCGUAAAGUGUUCGUAGGAGGUUUCGUAAGUUGUGUGUGAAGGGCGCGGGCUCAACCCGCGGACGGCACAUGUUACUGUGAGACUAGAGUAAUGGAGGGGGAACCGGAAUUCUCGGUGUAGCAGUGAAAUGCGUAGAGAUCGAGAGGAACACUCGUGGCGAAGGCGGGUUCCUGGACAUUAACUGACGCUGAGGCACGAAGGCCAGGGGAGCGAAAGGGAUUAGAUACCCCAGUAGUC
rnacentral:rRNA from 1 species